GACAGAGGGUGCAAACGUUGCUCGGAAUUACUGGGCGUAAAGCGCGUGUAGGCGGAUUGGUGUGUCAGAUGUGAAAUCCCUGGGCUCAACCCAGGAACUGCACCUGAAACUACCAGUCUUGAGUGAUGGAGAGGGAAGUGGAAUUCCUGGUGUAGAGGUGAAAUUCGUAGAUAUCAGGAGGAACACCAGUGGCGAAGGCGGCUUCCUGGACAUCAACUGACGCUGAGACGCGAAAGCGUGGGGAGCAAACAGG
rnacentral:rRNA from 1 species